CAGUCGCCGCGGUAAGACAGAGGAUGCAAGCGUUAUCCAGAAUGAUUGGGUGUAAAGCGUCUGUAGGUGGCUUUUCAAGCCCGCCGUCAAAUCCUAGGGCUCAACCCUGGACAGGCAGUGGAAACUACCAAGCUGGAGUACGGUAGGGGUAGAGGGAAUUUCCGGUGGAGUGGUAAAAUGCGUUGAGAUCGGAAAGAACACCAACGGCGAAAGCACUCUGCUGGGCCGACACUGACACUGAGAGACGAAAGCUAGGGGAGCAAAUGGGAUUAGAUACCCGUGUAGUCCCUGUCUCUUAUAC
rnacentral:rRNA from 1 species